rnacentral:rRNA from 1 species
CCUACGGGCGGCAGCAGUAGGGAAUAUUGCUCAAUGGGGGAAACCCUGAAGCAGCAACGCCGCGUGGAGGAUGAAGGUUUUCGGAUUGUAAACUCCUUUUGUUAGAGAAGAUAAUGACGGUAUCUAACGAAUAAGCACCGGCUAACUCCGUGCCAGCAGCCGCGGUAAUACGGAGGGUGCAAGCGUUACUCGGAAUCACUGGGCGUAAAGAGCGCGUAGGCGGGAUAGCAAGUCAGAUGUGAAAUCCUAUGGCUUAACCAUAGAACUGCAUUUGAAACUGUUAUUCUAGAGUAUGGGAGAGGUAGGUGGAAUUCUUGGUGUAGGGGUAAAAUCCGUAGAGAUCAAGAGGAAUACUCAUUGCGAAGGCGACCUGCUGGAACAUUACUGACGCUGAUGCACGAAAGCGUGGGGAGCAAACAGGAUUAGAUACCCCGGUAGUC